UACGUAGGUGGCAAGCGUUGUCCGGAAUUAUUGGGCGUAAAGCGCGCGCAGGCGGUCCUUUAAGUCUGAUGUGAAAGCCCUCGGCUCAACCGAGGAGGGUCAUUGGAAACUGGAGGACUUGAGUGCAGAAGAGGAAAGUGGAAUUCCAAGUGUAGCGGUGAAAUGCGUAGAGAUUUGGAGGAACACCAGUGGCGAAGGCGACUUUCUGGUCUGUAACUGACGCUGAGGCGCGAAAGCGUGGGGAGCAAACAGGG
rnacentral:rRNA from 1 species